AUACGUAGGUGACAAGCGUUAUCCGGAUUUACUGGGCGUAAAGGGCGUGUAGGCGGUCUUGCAAGUCAGAAGUGAAAUUCCUGAGCUCAACUCGGGCGCUGCUUCUGAAACUGCAGGACUUGAGUGCUGGAGGGGAUAGCGGAAUUCCUAGUGGAGCGGUAAAAUGCGCAGAUAUUAGGAAGAACACCGGUGGCGAAGGCGGCUAUCUGGACAGUAACUGACGCUGAGGCGCGAAAGUGUGGGGAGCAAACAGGAUUAGAUACCCUGGUAGUCCACACUGUAAACGAUGGAUACUAGGUGUGCGGGGACUGACCCCCUGCGUGCCGGCGUUAACACAAUAAGUAUCCCACCUGGGGAGUACGAUCGCAAGGUUGAAACUCAAAGGAAUUGACGGGG
rnacentral:rRNA from 1 species